UGACACCAAGGGCCACACAUCAACAACCACCUAAACCUGGGAUUGCCCUCCUCCCCUCUUCUUUUGGUGGCUGAAGCUCUUCUCCUAUAUUAGUGCAUCAGAAUUCUAGGGGCACCACUGUCUGCUGGGAAGGAAAUGAGCAGGAAUAUUUUCAGCUGCACUGCCAGCAGGUUUCUGCAGUGCCACCAGGGGAAAAAACCCACUGGAAGAGCUGGCUGAACUCACCAAUUCUGCUGGCCUCUGACAUCAGAUGCAGGUCAACAACAACUGUACCAUCACAUGCAACUGGCAAUGCUCCAUCUUCCAUCUAUGCUGGAGCAAAAAGCCUUGCAGGACAUUAAAACAGCGUAAACCAAC